GUCGCAGUAGGUGGCGCCGGCGCUGCGCGCCGCCUGCAGGGCGGCGUCGGCCAGGCGCUUCUUCAACGCCGGGUCGAGGCUGGACUGCAGCU
rnacentral:tRNA from 1 species